UUACUACUCCCUCCGUUCGGAAUUACUUGUCGCAGAAAUGGAUGUAUCUAGAUGUAUUUUAGUUCUAGAUACAUCCAUUUCCGAGACAAGUAAUUCCGAACGGAGGGAGUACUAG
rnacentral:pre_miRNA from 1 species